GGACCUGACUGCUAUCGGAUUGAUACUAAGCCAUGCGAGUCAUUGUAGCAAUACAAGGCAGACGGCUCAGUAACGCGUAGUCAACCUACCCUAUGGACGGGAAUAACCUCGGGAAACUGAGUAUAAUGCCCGAUAGAACAUUAUGCCUGGAAUGGUUUAUGUUCCAAAUGAUUUAUCGCCGUAGGAUGGGACUGCGGCCUAUCAGUUUGUUGGUGAGGUAAUGGCCCACCAAGACUAUUACAGGUACGGGCUCUGAGAGGAGUGGCCCGGAGAUGGGUACUGAGACACGGACCCAGGCCCUAUGGGGCGCAGCAGGCGAGAAAACUUUGCAAUGUGCGAAAGCACGACAAGGUUAAUCCGAGUGGUUUCUGCUAAAGGAACCUUUUGUCAGUCCUAGAAACACUGAUGAAUAAGGGGUGGGCGAGUUCUGGUGUCAGCG
rnacentral:rRNA from 1 species